UCAAGAGCCAUGCAGCAUGAACAGCUUAGCCAGAACAGCUCUUUCGAUCUACCCUCCUUGUAUUCAUCUGUUUUAGGUUUUAUUGCCUAUGCCUGUUUGAAAGUAUUUGGAGCAGUUUACACCAAUAUGAGUGCUUUCCAAGGAUAAGGGGGAAUGAGUUUGGGGCAAAACUUAUAGGAAAGGGAAAUACGAUGAUCUGGAUGGGGGUGGGGGUUAGUUUAGCUAGUAAAAUAUGAGCCAUGCAAGCUUGGGGACCUAGAUUUGACCCCCUGCACCCAAGUACAAAAGCCAGGUGUGUUGGGAAACAUCUGUAAUCUUAGUGCUGGGAAGGCUGCGCUGAUAGAUCCCUGAGCCCUCUGGCCAGCAAGCCUAGCUUUAUUGGGGAGUUGCAGUCCAGUGAAAAACCCAAGCCCAAGAAACAAAAACAAGGAAACAGAGUAGACUGCAACUGAGAAACAACCUCCGUAACAGCUUCACUGUGUUGUCCAGGCUGGCCUCAACUUCAUGGCAAUCCUCUGCUUCAGCCACACGAGCGCUGGGAGUACAGCUGGGAACCCAAGAAGCUAUUGGGAAGUCUGCUACCCGUGGUAAUUUGCUGCCCUAGGCAACUGCAUGUUUGGACUCCGUUCUCCCAGCUGGAGUAAUUGUUCCGACUUAUUUGUAUGGCUAUUCCUCUAUUCCUAUGGCCUUCAGCCACGUUGUUAUGUGUUGAGGGGGGAGAAGAAGCCGAUUUUGAAGAGUAUUUUAACAAGCAAAACAAACCUGCAGUGUCCCUUUGGAGAGGGCACUGGGUUUGCCUUGUCAGAUAUUGCAAAGGUGAGUAAAACCAUCCCUCUCCUAAGGGGCUGGAAAGGACAUGAGACCAGUGAGCAAGAGGUGGAGGAAGAUGGUGCUAGAUAAAGGGUUCAAAGGAAGAGAGCCAGAGGUGGGGUGGGGUAAUGGGGAGUGGCUUCCUAGGGAGGUAUUUUUAAGAUCAACCUUGAAGAUAAGAGAUUUUGAAGGAUUAGGAAAACAGGGUGGAGAGAGGUCAGAGAACUAGAGCAGAGAGUUCCAUUGUGGACACAGCAAGUAAGGUCCCUCUCCUGAGUCCCUGUAGUAGCUAUACCUCACUGCAAGACCGAAAAGUGGGGAACAUGUCCUAGGAGGAGACUGCGCUAGGUGUGAGAAGAACAAGGGUUCUCAUCUUUCCUUGGUGUUCGAUGGAUGUAAUCGAAGUCUCAGGAGCAACAUGGAUGUAUUUCACUUCAAUCUCUGAAAAAAGGAACCUCAUCUUGUAGGCGGAUCAUUUAAUCAGUGGCUCUCAGCUAUAAAUCUAUGAACAAUGUUAAUCUGUGCCGUCACCGUUAGCAAAUAGAGCAUGAGUCUCAAUCUAUUCUUCGGAAUUCUUGAAAGGUCUCUUUGACAGCAGCGCAAACAUCCUGUGAGGGUGCCAGAAAGGCAGCCUUCUGCUUCUGAAUUUGUCCCUGCCUCAGUAAAUGGUGCAGCUUCCCCUGCUCACUGUCUCAGUUUCCUCUGCUACAAAAUGGGAACAGCAUCCAUUUGCCUAAAGUCUGUCUGUACAAGCGUCUCAGCAUGUUCUGGACACCGAAGGGAGAAAAUUCUCAUCCCUCUCAAUAGUUUUUUUUUUUUUUUAAAUGGGGAAAAUGAGAUUAUCAGAAUUAAAACCAGAACAUAAGAGCUUUACAAGUCAAAUUAUUCUUUUCACAAUGUAUUUAUAACUGCUGUCUGUGGGAAUGUGCACCCCUGCCAUGGCGCCCCGGUGGAGGCCUGAGGACAGCCUUCUUCCUCUGUUUGGGUAGUCCUGGAGAUUAAACCUGGGUUGCCAGGCUGGUACAGGAAGUGCCCUUACCUGCUGAGCCAUCUGGCCAACCCUCAAAUGAUUACUGAUAAAUGACGCAAAUUUCGAAGACUGCUGAGAAAGCAUUCAUAAUCUACCAGUCAAUGACCUCUGUGUGUGUGUGUGUGUGUGUGUGUGUGUGUGUGUGUGUGUCUCCCUCUCUCUCCUCCCUGCUCCUCUCCUUCCUCUGAACUGAGUCCUCAUUUUUUGGUGUCCUGAGUGCUGGGAUUAUAGAUUAGCUGUUAGUAUGCCAACCUUGUUAGUAGUUAGGAUUGUUGUUGUUGUUGCUAUUACUAAUGGGCAACAGCACUUUCCUGGACCAUGAGAUCACAUGUUCAUUCCUCCAAAGCUGUGGAUAAUCUGCCCAGUUCCGCGUAUCACUCAGUGCUGAGAACGCAGAGCGAAGAAUUCUGUUCUGUGCCUUCCUCUGUGACAGGGUCUACACCCGGAAGGGUCGCUCCGCCGUCAAGUCUUCGCAUGGGCUUUGCCAUUGGCUGCGCACAGCUGAGGGAGACACUAAAAUCUCUAAGGGAAGCACAAAACAGCACUGGAGAUGUGGCUCAGUGGGUAGAGCGCUUGCCUAGCAUGUUAGAAGCCUGGGGGGGGGGGAAUCCUUCCGAAUUAUGUAAAACCAGUUGUGGUGGUGGCACUCAAGAAGUGAAGGCAGGGGGAUCAGAACUUCAAAGUCACCCUGAGCUACACACAUAAGAAGUUUGAGGCCAGCCUGGGCUACAUGAGAGUCUGUCUCAAACAAUCAAAGGGAGGGGGGAGAAAAGCUUGAUGUACCAUCACACUGUGCCUGGAGCACAGGCUGGAAUUCUCAGACAUACUAAGGUCUAAAAGCCAGGAAUGCCUUCUUAGGUGCAAAUGUGUCUUUGCUUGAGAACAACUUGGUGGCCUGUCUGUCUUCAUGUAUAUCUCUGAUUUUUAUUUUUAUUUUUAUUUUUACUCUCUGUGUAUGGCUGUUUCACCUGCAUGUCUGGAUGUGUGCCAUAUGCAUGCCCAGUGUAUGCAGAAGGCAGAAGAGGGCGUUAGAUCCCCUAGAACUGGAGUUACAGAUGGUUGUGAGUUCAAUUCCCUAGAAUCCUGUAAAAAGCCAAGUUCGGUAGCCUGUGCUUAUAGCCCCUGAGCUGGGGAAGUAGAAACAGGUGGAUCCCUGGGCUCACUGGCUAGCCCGGCUAACAUAGUAGGUGAGUGAGCCUCAGGCCAAUGAAAGAACCCCAUCUCACAAGACAAAAACAAGGUGAGGGCUGUCCAGGUGGCUCAGUGGGUAAAGUCGCUUGCAGCAGACAGAGCCUGAUGACUUGGCUUCAGUCUCCAGAAAUCAUGUGGUUGAAGGUGAAAAUGCCAAGUCGUUUUCUGAUUCCCACCAUACCCAAUCAUACCCAUAGUCUCUCUCUCUCUCUCUCUCUCUCUCUCUCACACACACACACACACACACACAUACACACACACACACACACACACACACAUGUACACCACAUACACACAUUAAUGUUUUUGAAAGAUAGAUGUCACCUGAGGUGACAUCAUAUGAGCCCUGGCAUACAUAUGAACUUGAGUGCACACACACGUGCUCACACACACAUUCACCUAUCUUUCCUAUGGGUAUAUGUUUGUGUCCCAUCACCAGAAAAUUCCUACAUUGAAAUCCCAACCUUUAAGGUGAUGGUGAUGAUGAUGAUGAUGAUGAUGAUGAUGAUGAUGAUGAUGACGACGACGACGAUGAUGACAGGAGUUGGGAACUUUGAAAGCUGCCUAGGGUGUAAAGGUAGAAGCCCCACCAACGAGACCAGUGUCCUCUUAAAAGAAGCUGACAGAGUAGGUUCAUCACUUCUGUCCUUUGAGGACACAGCAAGGUGACCAUUGUCUCUGAACCAGGGGAAUGAGCAUUUCCAGACUCAGAAUCUGCCAGCACAUUGUUCCCUAACUUCCAAGCCUUCCACAAAGGGAGGAAAGAUAAGUCUGUUUCAAGGUCUUCCAGUAUAUGGUACUUUUUGUAUUAUGACCCAAAUGGAAUAAUAGCAUCAGUUUCUAGGUAUGGGUUAGCAUUUUGCACUGUUUAUCAGACUGAAAGAGACCAACAUCGGAUGUCUGUUUUUUAGCUGCUGGUAAGACGAAUCUAAAAAUACCUUUAAACGAGGACUUACGGAUGAGUCCUUAAACAGUGUUAAUAUAAAGAAGAUAUGAGACCACAAUAAGCAUGCGCAAAUCUGUGUAAAGCUGGUAAAAUGUAGGACUGGAGACAUAGCUCAGUGGUUAAGAGCACUGGCCGUUCUUCCAGAAGACCAGGCUUUGAUUCUCAGCAUUCACAUGGGAGCUUACAACCAUCGCUGACUCCAGUUCCAGCAGAUCUAAUGCCCUCUUCUGUUGACUCUUCUGUUGGCCAGGCAUGCCUGUGGAACACAGACACAUAUGCAAGCAAAGUACCCAUACACAUAAAAAUAAUAACUUAACAAAAGAGGGAGUGAACAACAGUGAUGUGAAAGCGUACAGGCAUAGAUGUUGGAAAUGUAGGGUUCAGUAUGAAUAAAUGCAAGCUAUCACCCAUAGCUGACAGAGAAAGAACUUGGAAAGAUGGUAGGUGUGGAUGUCAUGUGGAAUCUCAUUUUCUCUGUUUGACCCUGUUUUGUAUCAUGAAAGUAGCCAUAGACAGUAUAUGGACAAGUGUUCUAAUAAAAUUUUAUUCACAAAACAAACCUCCCUUUUGAGCAAGCAAUUUUGUUUUUCCUUUUAAACAAGUAACAAAAAGGUCCAGGGCCUGGCCAAUCCUGCAGCACCACGGCUUCAUUCAAGAUCUGACGUCUUUCCCUCUGCCCUGUUCUGUGUACUCUGUGGCUUUGGUUUUGAGACCUCCAGGAUGAGAUGCCCACAGCUCUCCACACAACACACCCUUCACAAACAGGGUCCAAAAGACACAGGAGUUUCUCAUGUUUCAUUUUUAGGAGCAAGGACAUUUUCUCCAGUGGCCUCCUGACAAAUUUAGUUUACUUCCUAAGCUGGGCAUCAUGAGGCGAAUAUGCCUAGAUACCUUCUGCCUGGCAACCUAUAACAGACAAGUCUCGGGAUCCUCCACUCAGGAUCUCACAAGGCUACUACCACUGAGGUGCCACAGCCUUUAUUCGCUAAUAAAGCUCAGGCGGCCCAUCCAGACUCCUGUGCUUGCUGGCAGAUUUUGGGUUCCUCUAGAUAGAGGACAGAAGUCUCUGAUUUUUUUUUUCUUUUUUUUUUUUUC